rnacentral:misc_RNA from 1 species
UCGCAUAUUAUUGUUUAUUUCGAAACGUUAAAAGAAGAAAAAGGGAAAAGUGACAUUUGGAGAAAACGGAAAAGGGGAUCACAUGCUCUGUGCUAAUACUUUGUCAACUUCCAUGCGAAUAGCAGCAGCUGCCAAAACAUACCCAACAACUUAAGCUCCCCCAGCUACCUUACCCAGAUGGUCUUCAGGUCUGCCUCCUCAAUCAACAAGAAAAAAGCUGACUUCCAUUUUUAGAGCUCAUCCUUGGCUUCUGAUUCUGGGUUUGAGUCCUUGGGUUUUGAAUCUGCCUCUGCGUCCUUGGGUUUUGAAUCUGCCUCUGC